rnacentral:rRNA from 1 species
GAGGCAUUGCCUGCCCAGUGACAACUGUUUAACGGCCGCGGUAUCCUGACCGUGCAAAGGUAGCAUAAUCAUUUGUUCUCUAAAUAAGGACUUGUAUGAAUGGCCGCACGAGGGUUUUACUGUCUCUUACUUCCAAUCAGUGAAAUUGACCUUCCCGUGAAGAGGCGGGAAUGCACAAAUAAGACGAGAAGACCCUAUGGAGCUUUAACUAACCAACCCAAAGAGAAUAGAUUUAACCAUUAAGGAAUAACAACAAUCUCCAUGAGUUGGUAGUUUCGGUUGGGGUGACCUCGGAGAAUAAAAAAUCCUCCGAGCGAUUUUAAAGACUAGACCCACAAGUCAAAUCACUCUAUCGCUCAUUGAUCCAAAAACUUGAUCAACGGAACAAGUUACCCUAGGGAUAACAGCGCAAUCCUAUUCAAGAGUCCAUAUCGACAAUAGGGUUUACGACCUCGAUGUUGGAUCAGGACAUCCUGAUGGUGCAACCGCUAUCAAA